rnacentral:lncRNA from 1 species
UAUAUCAAAUGUAAUUCAAAAUUCAUAAUUUUCUGUUGAUUCUUUUUGGUUAUAUAGACCCUAUAUCAUUUUUUAACACUAGUAGCCUCGUUCUAGGAUUUAAUUCAUUAGCAACAAGUAAAUUUGUAAAUUUAUAACUUUAACAUAGGGUCCCUCAUGUGAUACACUAUUUUGUCAAGAUUUUGUUAAAAAUGAGAAUAAAAGAAGAACUUUUAUGUUAUAAAACAAAUAUAAAUUUCUCCAUAUUAACAGUACAUGCAGAAGUUUAUUUUGAACAAUUGAGAAACCAAAAGAACUGAAUCAAUUUACCAGAGAACAUCCCCCC